rnacentral:rRNA from 1 species
GACGAACGCUGGCGGCGUGCUUAACACAUGCAAGUCGAACGGAAAGGCCCUGCUUUUGUGGGGUGCUCGAGUGGCGAACGGGUGAGUAACACGUGAGUAACCUGCCCUUGACUUUGGGAUAACUUCAGGAAACUGGGGCUAAUACCGGAUAGGAGCUCCUGCUGCAUGGUGGGGGUGGGAAAGUUUCGGCGGUUGGGGAUGGACUCGCGGCUUAUCAGCUUGUUGGUGGGGUAGUGGCUUACCAAGGCUUUGACGGGUAGCCGGCCUGAGAGGGUGACCGGCCACAUUGGGCCUGCGAUACGGCCCAGACUCCUACGGGAGGCAGCAGUGGGGAAUAUUGCACAAUGGGCGGAAGCCUGAUGCAGCAACGCCGCGUGCGGGAUGACGGCCUUCGGGUUGUAAACCGCUUUCGCCUGUGACGAAGCGUGAGUGACGGUAAUGGGUAAAGAAGCACCGGCUAACUACGUG